UACGGAGGAUGCAAGCGUUAUCCGGAAUUAUUGGGCGUAAAGAGCUCGUAGGCGGUUUGUUGCGUCGGCUGUGAAAUCCCGAGGCUCAACCUCGGGUCUGCAGUCGAUACGAGCAAACUAGAGUGUUGCAGGGGAGACUGGAAUUCCUGGUGUAGCGGUGAAAUGCGCAGAUAUCAGGAGGAACACCGGUGGCGAAGGCGGUUCUCUGGGCCUGUACUGACGCUGAGGAGCGAAAGCCAGGGGAGCAAACGGG
rnacentral:rRNA from 1 species